rnacentral:tRNA from 1 species
UACCUUGAGGUGUGAGGCACAGGAAGUUUUGAUUUUCCAGGGUUCAGCAUGCUGAACAAGGUAA